AGAGGCAUAGUCCCCACUGCACAGAGGCGGGUCUGAGGCUCGGCGACGCCGCCCGCGGGCCCCGCGCCAGGGCCGGGAGAGGGUCCGCCGUGCCCUGGUCCCACUUGUCCCGCGGCUCCCGGCGCCUCUCCGCCCACAGUCCUAUGGCGGCGGCGGCGGCACUGAGGCACCAGCCUCAGGUAAACGGUCGUCCUUCGGGCCCUCACCCCACCAGGCACUAAAGCCCCGAAUGCGGGGCACCUGCCCAUGUGCCCGCAGCCCACGCCGCGGUGUCCUGGACGGUGAGGCGGUCGUGGGUGGGGCUCAGUUUCCGACAGUGUGAUAGUGCGUGGGAGAGGGUGGCAGGCGGAGGGACCGGCAGGUGCAAAGGCUGGGAGGUCGGAUUGAGCCGGGAGGAUUCGGGAAACCUGGGGUCCAUCAGAUGUCUGCAGGACACAAAGAAGGUGAAGCGGAGUCAUACCCGGACUGUCAGGCUGAGGGUUGUAUCUUUAUUGUGAGGACCUAAGAAGGCAUGGAGAAUUUUGAACAAAAGGGGAACAGGAUUUACAUUAGCGUUUUAAAUGUUUCCCAAGGCCCUUCAAAGGAAAAACAGAUUUGAGGGGAGUGAUGAGGAUAUUGAGGCACUAGGUGGUUGAAUCUUUGUUCAAGGCCAUACUGCUGGUAAAGGGUGAUACAGAGCACCGAGGAACAGGGGUCAAACGACCAACCUGAAGUCGUCUGGCUCCGAGGCCAGGCAAGGAAGGAAACAGGGUGGCAUGAGCCUCAACGUUUCUAACCCACAAUUACCUUCUUCUAAGGCCUGUCUCUUCCCACAGAGUCCGAAGACUGCAGAAAUACUUAUGGAAACAAAACUGGCAACUCUGGGUGCUUUCCCAUUGCGGAGCACAGGCCCCGGAUGCGCAGGCUCAGCGGCCAUGGCUGACGGGCCCAGCCGCUCCGCGGCAUGUGGGAUCCUCGCGGACCAGGGCAUGAACCCGUCUCCCCUGCAUCGGCAGGCGGACUCUCAACCACUGCGCCACCAGGGAAGCCCAGCAAAGUUUUAUUUUUAAGGCCUAAAAUAAAGGCCCAUUAUCAUGUGCUGCCUUGACAUCUAAUAAAACCUGGAGUGGCUCAAAUGGCCUGAAUGGGGUUUCCGUUCUAUACUGGCCUGCAGAGUUAUUCAGACAAGCCAUUUGCAUCAUCCUCUAGUAACCAGGUUGUACCCCGACCUCUUGAUCUUACAAAACUUCCACCACACAACCCCUGGUGGGUUUUUUUUUUUUCCAGUGUACAACAUUCAUGUGGCCCUGUAUGGUAUGUGAUGUCCUUCUCUCCCAGGCUGUAUCUCUAAUUAAUAAACUG